GCGCGGGGGGCAGCGCGGGAGCAUCAGGCCCUGGGGCUGAGGGGCCACGAGGGGCUGAGGGUGGAGAGCGGGUAUAUGCGCAGGCAUCGCACAUCCUUCUCACCUCUGUGUCAGCCUCCAAAUCGUCACAGAAUCACAGAACAGUUUGAGUUGGAAGGGACCUCACAGAUCAUCCAGUUUCAACUCCCCUGCCAUGGGCAGGGACAACUUCCACUAGACCAGGUUGGUCAAAGUCCCAUCCAACCUGGCAUGUACUUCUGUGUGUUUCUGAGUGUGCCCUGCCUGCACGGCAUCAUAGGGAGGUUAUUGUAUUAUCUGCUGAAUAUGUGCUUAUUCCUGCAGGUAACCUCUGCAAAUGGAUUGCAGUGCUAGAUUCCCAUUCAGAGCACACCUCUGAAAUUGCUACCCAUCACAAGAGAUGUUUCAAGCAAAAGCCUCUGGCUUGGCUGUUUUAAGCAGGAUGCCCAAUCAGAAUGUUUUGUGGCUGGUGAAGCACGUAGAGAGGUAUUUCUCUCUGCUUGAUCUCCCUCUCUAGCUUUGCCUAUUAAGGGCACUUUUCUGUUACCUUGAUGGUACCUUGAUGGGGACCAUGAUGGGUUUGCCAUCCUUGGGAGACCUUUAUCUCCCAGGGAGUUUUCCAAGCAGGAAGAAGCAUCUGAGGUUAAAUACUGGAGAAUUAGAUGGGUGGGUUUCCUUGCUUCUUGAAGGUGUGAUGUUCAAAGGAAAAGGUGCCAGCUGAAGGUUAGGAAAGCAAAACCAAGAGUAGGAGUUAUCUCUUAAGUUGUUUGUUUAAGUUCAUUUUACUAAACAGCUAAGUGCAAAGCUCUUGCUUAAAGCUGUGUUUGCACGGCAAAAAACCCCAACCACAACAAGCCAAGGAAAAGCUCAAUGCCCCAGCUGUUGAUAGCCCAGACAAGCUUUCUCCUGAGCAACCCCAACACAACAAGCACAAGAUGGAUGUGAACUGUCACCAUGUCACCUGAGAGAAUGGCUGCCUCCCUAAUAAAACAUUCUCCACACUGAUGAAUUUUCCAA